AUCGCUUCUCGGCCUCUUGGCUAAGAUCAAGUGUAGUAGCUGUUCUUAUCAGUUUAAACCUGAAUGUUCUAAAUACACUAUUAAGACAGAUUAUCAGAAUACAUUAAAAAAAAAAAAGACCCAAC
rnacentral:snRNA from 1 species